UACAGAGGUCUCAAGCGUUGUUCGGAUUCAUUGGGCGUAAAGGGCGCGUAGGCGGCCACCGCAAGUCGACUGUGAAAUCUCCGGGCUUAACCCGGAAAGGUCAGCCGAUACUGCGGGGCUAGAGUGCAGAAGGGGCAACUGGAAUUCUCGGUGUAGCGGUGAAAUGCGUAGAUAUCAAGAGGAACACCUGCGGCGAAGGCGG
rnacentral:rRNA from 1 species